rnacentral:rRNA from 1 species
CGCGUAUGCAACCUACCUUUAACUGAGGGAUAGCCCAUAGAAAUGUGGAUUAAUACCUCAUAGCUCUUAUUGGCCGCAUGGUUUGAUAAGAUAAAGCUCCGGCGGUUAAAGAUGGGCAUGCGUGACAUUAGCUAGUUGGUAAGGUAACGGCUUACCAAGGCUACGAUGUCUAGGGGUUCUGAGAGGAUGAUCCCCCACACUGGUACUGAGACACGGACCAG